rnacentral:lncRNA from 1 species
GUUCUGUUCUCUGGUCUCCCAAGGCCCUUGAUUUAUGGGGUCCCCACAGACGGAAGCUUUCCCCCCAUCAGCAGGUCUCCACUGAAUCAGCGGCAGGAGUCCUGGAUGAUCCCCGGUCGCGCGGCCCCCUCCCCCGCUCCUUCCCUACCAGCGCCGCAGCGAUAGCAGAAUCUAGGGGAGGGAGCGACAUUCUCUCCUACCGUUCCAGCGCCUCUGAGACUAAUGAAGUUGAUCAUAUUCCCCAUUCUGCUCCAAGGAGGUUGGCAUUGGGACUAAAACUGAAGUAGUAAAGUUGGAUCUGAAUAAUGUUUGGAGGUGAACUGACUAUAAAGCUCAAGAGAGGAAGAUAAUGUGAAGAUUUAUGAAUAAGAAAUUUAUAAGAAUAACGUUAUACUGAAGGAUGAGGCAAAGUUCUGAAAUAGAAUCAAAUCAUUUGUGUAAUUCUCCUGAAGAAUGUGAAUGGAAGUACAGUGAGACCAUAUCUUGGAAGUCUCUGAAUGUCUUAUUAAAGAAUUUGGAUUUAAUUACUGCCUUUGAAAGACAAUCAUUCAAACAGCUCAUAUACCCUCUGAAGUUCCCAGCUGGAAUCAGUCUGUGCAGAAACUUUCAAGCCAUGGAGAGAGAAGCAUUUGAAGUCAUUUAUAUUUAGACAAAGCCUGUCUGGUCGCUUACAGUUAGUCACAAAGUAAGUGAGACACCAAGAAAAAAAAAAGAAAAAGAAAAAACAGAGUAAUGAAUUAUAUACAUUAGAAUAACUUAGAAUUAUAUCAAUUAAGCAAACAUAUUUUAAGACAAGAUUUCUUCAAGUAUGGCUGCAUAUUAAUCAGUCCCCAUUGACUUAUAUUCAGGAAAAUGAAUCUGGAGAAGACUUCAAAAGCCUAGACUUAAAAAACACACACACACGUGUGGUAACAUUGCAUCUAAGGCUGUAUGUUUCAGGGAGGAGGAGAUAAGCCUUAAUAUGAAGAAGAAGAGAAAUCACAGAUGUUGACCAACAUUGAUUAAGUCUACAGUGUGCUUGCUGGUUCUCAUAUCCUACGUACUUUAGUUUUCCAACAACUCUAUUAUAUAAUCCACUUAGAUGAAGAAUCUGAAGCUAAUAGAAGUUAGUAAAUAACUCAAGUUCUGUUCCAUGAAAUGUGAGCAGAGAAAUUUAAAUUGAUAGAAUAAAAUAGCAAUAAUAAUAAAAU